rnacentral:rRNA from 1 species
GAGAGAGUUCAAGAGAACGUGAAAUCGUUGAAGUGGAACCGGAGAGAGUUGACGUAGUAUGGUGGAUAAGUAUUGCAAGAAUCGCUUCAUACCAUGAAUGUGAUCGAGUAAUAUGUACGUCACCAAUGACUGCGCUGACAGCAUCGACUACACGCUCUGAACCGUGUUGACAUGCUGCCUACCCUAGUAUAUAGAGUGGUGUCUUGUGUUACGUGGUGAAGUUUGUUGUUGAUGUUGUUGAUGUUGAUAAGUAUGAUUAUACACCGAGUAUAAUUAUGUCAGUGUAAAAGUCAACCACCUCUCCGACCCGUCUUGAAACACGGACCGAGGAGUGUAACUUGUACGCGAGUCAAUGGGUGGAAAAACCUUAAGGCGAAACGAAAGUGAAGGCACGGUUAACCGGCUGACAUGGGAAACGUGCGGUAUUGUUAGCGAGACGUUACACCAUGGCCCUGUCUUGUCUGCAUGCAGAUGGGCAGCGGUAGAGCGUACAGGUUGCGACCCGAAAGAUGGUGAACUAUGCCUGAGCAGGACGAAGUCAGAGGAAACUCUGGUGGAAGUCCGUAUCGGUUCUGACGUGCAAAUCGAUCGAUAGACUU